GAAUGAGAAAGGUGAGCGAAGAGAGAAAUACUUUCAAUGACAGACUAUCUUCAUCCUGUUACUUGUAAACUUGCCGUGGUCCAGUGUGAUCCAGCUUUAAAUCGCGAAGCAGCUACCAUGCAUCACUGUGACCCAGGGAGCCCUGACUUCAUCCUAGCAGCGCUUUUCAACUUACGCUCGCCCUCUACACCGCAGUGAGGAUCCCAGACUCUUCAUAGAACUCUUUCCACCUAACACCCGAUCCUUGGCCACUACCACUCACCUCAUCAUCUACACCCCACUCCUAAGGCUCCUUCUGAAAUAAAACAAUCUUGGUCAUUUGUAUCUUAACAUAAAUUAUGCCUCUCUCAAAAGCAAGUUGAGCCUAAUUCUAAUUAUGGAAUGGAAAGCUUUUCCCCUAUUAAGAAAUCUUGCAUGUCAUCAAAAAUGUGGGACAGUUCUAGGAAGGGAGCAGAGCAAAGGAAUC
rnacentral:lncRNA from 1 species